UACGUAGGGGGGCAAGCGUUGUCCGGAUUUAUUGGGCGUAAAGAGCUCGUAGGCGGCUUGGCAAGUCGGGUGUGAAACCUCCAGGCUCAACCUGGAGACGCCACUCGAUACUGCUAUGGCUAGAGUCCGGUAGGGGACCACGGAAUUCCUGGUGUAGCGGUGAAAUGCGCAGAUAUCAGGAGGAACACCGGUGGCGAAGGCGGUGGUCUGGGCCGGCACUGACGCUGAGGAGCGAAAGCGUGGGUAGCAAACAGG
rnacentral:rRNA from 1 species